rnacentral:rRNA from 1 species
UACAUGGGCUCCAAGCGUUAUCCGGAUUUAUUGGGCGUAAAGGGUCUCCAGGUGGUUUGGUUAGUCGGGCGUAAAUUCCGCUGCUUAACGGCGGAGCUGCGUUCGAAACGGCCAAACUCGAGGGAUGGAGAGGGAGUAGGAACUCACGGUGUAGGGGUGAAAUCCGUUGAUAUCGUGGGGAACACCAAAGGCGAAGGCAAACUCCUGGCCAUUUCCUGACACUCAUGAGACGAAAGCGUGGGGAGCGAAUGGG